GCAUAUCAAUAAGCGGAGGAAAAGAAACCAACAGGGAUUGCCCCAGUAGCGGCGAGUGAAGCGGCAAGAGCUCAGAUUUGAAAUCGUGUUUCGGCACGAGUUGUAGAGUGUAGGCGGGAGUCUCUGUGGAGCGCGGUGUCCAAGUCCCUUGGAACAGGGUGCCUGGGAGGGUGAGAGCCCCGUAGGGUGCUGCGCGAAGCUUUUGAGGCCCUGCUGACGAGUCGAGUUGUUUGGGAAUGCAGCUCCAAGCGGGGGGUAAAUUCCAUCUAAGGUUAAAUAUUGGCGAGAGACCGAUAGCGAACAAGUACUGUGAAGGAAAGAUGAAAAGCACUUUGAAAAGAGAGGGAAACAGCACGUGAAAUUGUUGAAAGGGAAGGGUAUUGGGCUCGACAUGGGGGGGGCGCACCGCUGUCUCUUGUAGGCGGCGCUCUGGGCGCCCUCUGGGCCAGCAUCGGUUCCUGCUGCGGGAGAAGGGGCUCCGGAAAGUGGCUCUU
rnacentral:rRNA from 1 species